GGAGGGGUGGCCGAGCGGCUGAAGGCGCACGCUUGGAAAGCGUGUAGGCGGGUAACCGCCUCGAGGGUUCGAAUCCCUCUCCCUCCGCCA
rnacentral:tRNA from 1 species